CAGCAGAGGAUGUCAUGACAGGUCAUCUCUACAGACCCAACAGAGAAUGUCAUGACAGGUCAUCUGUACAGACCCCACAGAGGAUGUCAUGACAGGUCAUCUCUACAGACCCAGCAGAGGAUAUCAUGACAGGUCAUCUCUACAGACCCAACAGAGAAUGUCAUGACAGGUCAUCUGUACAGACCCCACAGAGGAUGUCAUGACAGGUCAUCUCUACAGACCCCACAGAGGAUGUCAUGACAGGUCAUCUCUACAGACCCAACAGAGGAUGUCAUGACAGGUCAUCUCUACAGACCCCACAGAGGAUGUCAUGACAGGUCAUCUCUACAGACCCAACAGAGGAUGUCAUGACAGGUCAUCUCUACAGACCCAACAGAGGAUGUCAUGACAGGUCAUCUCUACAGACCCCACAGUGGAUGACAUGACAGGUCAUCUCUACAGACCCAAUAGAGGAUGUCAUGACAGGUCAUCUGUACAGACCCCACAGAGGAUGUCAUGACAGGUCAUCUCUACAGACCCCACAGAGGAUGUCAUGACAGGUCAUCUCUACAGACCCAACAGAGGAUGUCAUGACAGGUCAUCUGUACAGACCCCACAGAGGAUGUCAUGACAGGUCAUCUCUACAGACCCCAC
ensembl:lncRNA